rnacentral:sRNA from 1 species
GUUUCUUUUAGUGGGAAGUACCUUCUGUCUAUAGUGGUGUUAUCUUGGGAAUUAAAGACAAUUUAACAAGAGAUUUGGUUUAUAUUCUUAUGGCCAAAGGUUUGCACUGCAGUACUGUUAAGGACUUUUCCCAUGCUAAACAGCUCUUUGCUGCUUGUUUGGAGUUGGUAACAGAGUUCUCACCGAAGCUUCGUCAGGUCAUGCUGAAUGAGAUGUUGCUUUUGGAUAUUCAUACACAUGAAGCUGGGACAGGGCAGGCAGGAGAGAGACCGCCAUCCGACCUUAUAAGUAGGGUACGAGGCUAUCUGGAAAUGAGGCUUCCUGAUAUUCCUCUUCGUCAAGUUAUAGCUGAGGAAUGUGUUGCCUUUAUGUUAAACUGGAGGGAAAAUGAAUACCUUACACUCCAAGUUCCUGCAUUUUUGCUUCAGAGUAAUCCAUAUGUAAAGGAACCACUCGUUUUGACUAUUAUUUUAUCACUCUUUGUGAAACUUCACAAUGUUCGGGAGGACAUUGUGAAUGAUAUUACAGCUGAACACAUUUCUAUUUGGCCAUCU